GCUCAGGAUGAACGCCGGCGGUGUGCCUAAUACAUGCAAGUCGUACGCACUGGCCCAACUGAUUGAUGGUGCUUGCACCUGAUUGACGAUGGAUCACCAGUGAGUGGCGGACGGGUGAGUAACACGUAGGUAACCUGCCCCGGAGCGGGGGAUAACAUUUGGAAACAGAUGCUAAUACCGCAUAACAACAAAAGCCGCAUGGUUUUUGUUUGAAAGAUGGCUUUGGCUAUCACUCUGGGAUGGACCUGCGGUGCAUUAGCUAGUUGGUAAGGUAACGGCUUACCAAGGCGAUGAUGCAUAGCCGAGUUGAGAGACUGAUCGGCCACAAUGGAACUGAGACACGGUCCAUACUCCUACGGGAGGCAGCAGUAGGGAAUCUUCCACAAUGGGCGCAAGCCUGAUGGAGCAACACCGCGUGAGUGAAGAAGGGUUUCGGCUCGUAAAGCUCUGUUGUUGGAGAAGAACGUGCGUGAGAGUAACUGUUCACGCAGUGACGGUAUCCAACCAGAAAGUCACGGCUAACUACGUGCCAGCAGCCGCGGUAAUACGUAGGUGGCAAGCGUUAUCCGGAUUUAUUGGGCGUAAAGCGAGCGCAGGCGGUUGCUUAGGUCUGAUGUGAAAGCCUUCGGCUUAACCGAAGAAGUGCAUCGGAAACCGGGCGACUUGAGUGCAGAAGAGGACAGUGGAACUCCAUGUGUAGCGGUGGAAUGCGUAGAUAUAUGGAAGAACACCAGUGGCGAAGGCGGCUGUCUGGUCUGCAACUGACGCUGAGGCUCGAAAGCAUGGGUAGCGAACAGGAUUAGAUACCCUGGUAGUCCAUGCCGUAAACGAUGAGUGCUAGGUGUUGGAGGGUUUCCGCCCUUCAGUGCCGGAGCUAACGC
rnacentral:rRNA from 1 species